GUGUUCGUAGAAAGGAGAGAUGGACGGGAACAGCCUUCGGGCUUUACCUGUUAUCGCACACAUCCGGUUAAGGCUACCCACUUCGGUGGAUCUUACCCCAAUUUUUG
rfam:Nicotiana attenuata strain TT chromosome 11, whole genome shotgun sequence.